GCUGUUGCCUCGACAAAGACAAGCCCCCCUUGUCUAGAAUGUUGGCACCAGACUGAGGCAUCUCUUUCCUUUGCUGCCUCGUUUCACUAGCAGGCAGCAAAGAAUUCCAUUUCAACAUUACUAAGCGUACGUCUGGUGCAGCUGUGAAGCAGCCACUAUGAAAGUCGUGACUAGUGUACGGAUAUGUGAACUGUUUCACAUGGGUCAAUUGAGACAGCACACUGCAGCUUUCAGCGUGCUAGCCUUUUAUUUUCCAAGUAUCUGUCUACUUGCCAUUAUUCAUGUUGAAGCAUAGAUAUGGUAAGGUUGCUGCAACUGAUGAAAGCUGUAUCAACAGUAACACUGAGAUGUCCCCCUAUGGUGUUUUCAAUCUUUCUAGCAGGCCCCCCAGCUACAUCUUGCAGUGUUUCUCACAGCCAGACUUGAGAAGUGUUUCCACUGCAGUCAAUAUUUGGGGUGUUGAGCAAAGUAGAAAUAUAAUUUUUUUGUUUAAAGUUUGUGUGGCAUUAUGGGUGAAAAAUGUUCGCAGCGCAUUGCACCUCAGUAGCAUCAGCCAUGGUGGAACUGCCAGUGUGAUAAGCUCAUAGGUAUCACCAUUAAGAUCACCAUAGAUGGAAAUCCAUCGAUGGAUCAUCAUAGGUGAAAAUCCUUCCAAUUAUUCCCUGAGUUGAGGGUGUCAUCAUCACGAUCGCCAUGGAUGAGAAUGCUGCCACUUAUACCCUGGCUUGAGGGUGUCACCAUCACGAUCGCCAUGAAUGAGAACGUUGCCACUUAUACCCUGAGUCGAGGGUAUCACCAUCACGAUUGCCAUGGAUGAAAAUGCUGCCACCUAUAUCCUGGGAUGAGGGUGCCACCAUUACAAUCGCCAUGGAUGAGAACGCUGCCACUUAUACCCUGGGUUGAGGGUGUCACCAUCAUGAUCGCCAUGGAUGAGAAUGCUGCC